CUUUCCUUACAUCUCUCAGCUAUCAUCCGCCCUUGUAAACUCAUGACUCCAAGGAGAACUUUCUGGAUCGCUGUGAGCUCUUAAUUCAGAACUUGAGUUCAAACUUGAGCAAACAACUUACGUCACAUUCCUGGGUGAAGUUUCCCUCAGUGUUCGGUUCCCACUUGGACUGAUUCUCUUGGGAAGCCUACAGAGUGAGAUUUUAGUGGUCCCUGUUCGCCUGCCACAGGGGGAAAGAUUCAAAUGGUAUUUCCUAUAGAUAGUGGAUUGCAAGUUGUUCACCUUUCUGAUCACCGUGACCAAAACACCCGAUGGAAACAACCUAAGAGAAGAAAGGAUCAUUUUAAAUUAGGAUGCCAGAACUUUCAAGUCAUCAAAGUGGGUAAAGGUCUUACAGGAGGUGCAUGAGGCAGAGAUACCCCACCCCACCCCCAAUUAGGGGAGACACAGAGAGCAAAAGCCAUGUCCCAUAUCAAAGGCAUUGUCACCUCCAAGGCACACACUUCUGCCCACCAGGCCCCAACUCCUAAAGGCUAUACCACCUCUCAAAUCAGCAGCCUGGGAACAAGACCUGAGCCUGCAGAGGGCAUUCCAGAUGCCAACCACAACAGCUAACAUUGCUGCCUUUAUCCAAGUUCGGUUCUAAAAAUACCUUCUGGGGCCUUUGUCAUCUCCAAGUCCACCUACCUGUUCUAUGACACUAUGACACUAUUUUUCUGGUGGACAUUAAAAUUUCAUCUUUGUCUUUGGUUUUAAAUA